rnacentral:rRNA from 1 species
UACGGGGGGAGCAAGCGUUGUUCGGAUUUACUGGGCGUAAAGGGCGCGUAGGCGGCCACCGCAAGUCGGUUGUGAAAUCUCUGGGCUUAACCCAGAGCCUGCAUUCAAUACUGACAGGCUAGAGUUCUGGAGGGGAUAGCGGAAUUCCUGGUGUAGCGGUGAAAUGCGUAGAUAUCAGGAGGAACACCGGUGGCGAAGGCGGCUAUCUGGACAGAGUCUGACGCUGAGGCGCGAAAGCUAGGGGAGCAAACAGG